rnacentral:rRNA from 1 species
UUACUACUUGGAUAACCGUAGUAAUUCUAGAGCUAAUACAUGCGUCAAUACCCUUCUGGGGUAGUAUUUAUUAGAUUGAAACCAACCCCUUCGGGGUGAUGUGGUGAUUCAUAAUAAGCUUGCGGAUCGCAUGGCGUAUGCCGGCGAUGGAUCAUUCAAGUUUCUGCCCUAUCAGCUUUGGAUGGUAGGGUAUUGGCCUACCAUGGCUUUAACGGGUAACGGGAAAUUAGGGUUUGAUUCCGGAGAGGGAGCCUGAGAGACGG